rnacentral:lncRNA from 1 species
GCUAGUCGGGCGGGUGCGCGGGGCGCUCGGGGCCCGGGGCCAGAGCUGGAGCCGGAGCCGGGCGGGCGCCAUGGAGGGGCUGCGGCGGGGGCUGUCGCGCUGGAAGCGCUACCACAUCAAGGUGCACCUGGCGGACGAGGCGCUGCUGCUACCGCUGACCGUGCGGCCGCGGGACACGCUCAGCGACCUGCGCGCCCAGCUGGUGGGCCAGGGCGUGAGCUCCUGGAAGCGCGCCUUCUACUACAACGCGCGGCGGCUGGACGACCACCAGACGGUGCGCGACGCGCGCCUGCAGGACGGCUCGGUGCUGCUGCUCGUCAGCGACCCCAGCCACACAGGCCUCCUCGCUGCCUCAGAGCCUCUGGACAGGCUGUUCCUUCAGCCUGGAAUGCUGUUCCCUCAGGUCCCCAACUCCCUCUCUUCCUGCAGCCCUCCCUGACCAUCCUGUUUAAAAUUGCAUUCCAGCGAGGCGCAGCGGCUCACACCCGCAAUCCCAGCACUUUGGGAGGCUGAGGCAAGCAGAUCACUUGAGUCCAGGAGUUCAAGACCAGCCUGGCCAACAUGGUGAAACCCCAUCUCUACUAAAACUACAAAAAUUAGCCGGGCAUGAUGGCGCAUGCCUGUAAUCCCAGCUACUGGGGAGGCUGAGGCAAGAGAAUCGCUUGAGUCUGGGAGGCGGAGGUUGCAGUGAGCUGAGAUCGUGCCAUUACACUCUAGUCUGGGUGACAGGGUGAAACUCCGUCUCUAAAGAAAUAAAUAAUAAAAUUUUAUUUCACGCCAUCCCUGCUUUCUCUCUUUCCCCAUCACUUGUCAGCAGCCGACUUCUCUACGUUUUACUUAUUUUUUUCACCUGUCUCCUGCAGUAGACUGUAAACUCUGUGAGGGUACUGCCGUCCAUCUUGUUCCCUGCUGGAUUGCCAGUUCAGUGCCUGGCACAUAGUAGGUGCUUAAUAAAUGUUAGUGAGAUGUAUUGUCUCACUAACAUAAUCGUGAGCAGAGGCAAGGAUUGGGCUGCUCAGAAUAUUUUUCUGGAGCUCUAGCGGUGCCUGGAUGCAGGGGAGGGAAUUUCUGGGUCAGAGGUGAGCCCUGGCAGGGGCAGGAAGAGGCACCAGCCAGACAGUGGGCAGAAUAGGGAAGCCUUGAACGCCAAGGCAAGGGCUAUGUUUUUUCUGCAACCUGUGUCUUUCUGUCUCCCUCUUUCAGGUAGUCUGGGUUGGAGGAGGCAGAGCCAUGACCAAGGGGACCUGGGUACUGGCUGAAGGAAUAGGCUGGGGUAGAGGGCACUUUUGGAAGGCACUUCUCCUGCCUCCCGGGAGCCUAGAUCUCACUCCAGGUAAGUAAUUGUAGUAGUUGAGAAAGAGAAAGGACCUUAGAGAUUGUGGAGACCAUAGAUGGGGAAACUGAGGCCCAGAGAGGAGAAGAGACAGAUGUUAUUGACCAUCAUCCCCCUCCAUACACUUAUGCUUCUGGCCUCUAGGGUAGGGACAUGGCCUUGGUGUCUCAUUUCUUUUUGGACUAACACGUGGACCAGAGCCGUGUUGCCCCUGACUUGCUGGGUGACCUUGGGAAAAUUGCUUCUCCUCUCUGGGCUCUGUUACCUGUCUCCUUACAAUAAAGGAUUGAGCUUUGAUUUGGCUUUACUGCACUCUUUGCCUGCAAUUCCUGUGACUGCCAUCAGGUGGCAGAAAACAGCCAAGUUCCAAGAGAAUCGCUUGAACCCAGGAGUCAGAGGUUACAGUGAGCCGAAAUCACGCCAUUGCACUCCAGCCUGGCGACAGAGCAGGACUCUGUCUCAAAAAAAAGAAAGAAAAAAGAAAACAGCCAAAUUCACCAGGGGCCAUCCCUGUUCCUCUUAAAGGACACAAGGGACAUCCACAGGAGGGGAUGACUGCAGAUCACUGUCCGUGUCAGGGAUGUUAGGUAAAAGGAAAGGACAAAUGGCUGGAGAACUGGUGUUUCACCCUUCCCUGGUCCUGGAUUGAAACGGGUUUACCCUUCCCCUCCUGUUGUUCCAGGGUCUGGGCUCCCAGGUGGACCAUGAAACCCUGGCCUGACCAGCUGAUGCACACUGCUUCAGACACUCCUGCUGGAGCCCCAGUCCCUGACAAGGACCUAGGACAUUUUUGCUCCUGCCCAGCCUAUCGGGAGGGAGCCUUGAGCCUUUCAGCUCUGCUGUGUGACUUUGAGGUUGUUGCUCCCCUCUUGGGGCCCUGGGUGCCCUGUCUUCAGUGGAAAGCACUGUGCCACCUUGGAAAGCUCCCAUGGGCAGCCAGAGGGCAUCGCAAGAAGAGAAGCACAGAAGGGGCAGGAGAGACACUCAGAGGCACUUCCGCUCUUGCCCAGGACAUUUUCCCAGCCACACCUUUGCCCAAGCCGUGCCCCCUGCCUGGAGCACUUUUCAACCUCUUCUCUGCAGCUCCAAUACACCUGGGAUUGCAGUCUCCUCCAGGAAGUCUUCUCAGAUUCCCUCCUUCCCAGCCAGAGAGCACCUAGCCUUCUUUGGGGCCCCCACAGGCCCUUUGUGCAGUGAACAGCCCUGGCUGGGGGUGCAGCCAGUCGUGUCCGAACUCUCCAAUGACUAAGCGGGGAGAUGCGGACAUCCUAGCUCCUUCUCAGGCCUCCAACUGUGCCCCAUUUCCACCCCCAAAUACCUCCCCAGGAGGCACCUGUGCCCACCCCCUGGGCUGUUUCCCCCUUCCCCUUAAAUCCGGAUGCCUCGUCUUGCAUAGGGUCUUGGGGCAGCGGGGAAGGGGUUCUGAAGAACUCUGGCCAAGAGGACGAGGAUCUGGGGGUGGGGAACUGGGCCUAGCUGUGGGAGGUCAUCGCGGGGCAUUGCAGGGAGUGCGUUGUGGGAAUUCCGGGUGGAGACCCUCAGGGCAGUGUGCCGGGCCUCCGUUGCACCUCUGACCUGCAGCCACGUCAUCGUUGCGCAGCCCCUGGGGAGGGUCUUUGGGGAGGGGGUGCCGAGGCUACGCAUGUCCUCGAGGGCCGUGUACACUCUCCAGGCACCAUGGGCGGAGGCGCCAGAGGCUGGGAAGAAAUAAUGUUUUAGUUAAGAGUCCUGUUGGCUGCAGGACUCAGAGCAUGGACAGGUGGAUAGUAAAUCACCACCACGGGGACAGCCGUGCCCAGACUGUGCGUUUGCUUAGCUCGGGGACAGCACUUGGCCCGGGGUCUCCUGCUCGCCUCCCUUCAGAGCAUCUGCCAAACUUCGGGCAUCUACCCUGCAAUUCCCGCUUGGCUGAGAGGAGGGGGAGAAGGAGGGGAAGAGAGAGGAGCCCCACUUCACUCCGGCAGGCAGACCUGCUGGAGCUGCUUUGCAGAAUGACUUGGGUCUUGCUGGCCCCUGGGUGUGCCUGGAGGGGGGUCUUCCUAUCCCCCUCCACCUCUCCCCUUGGUGCCUAACCCAGGACUUUGUCCCCAGAGACCCACUGUGUGCCCCCUGGAGCUCCUCCUAGAGCAGAGUCUGCUGCUGUCUGUUCUGCAGAGGGUAGCCUGAGGCCCAAGGAGGUUGUCAGGGACACACAGCAGGGGGAGGCAGCCCAGAUCCCUGCUCAUGCGUGGUUUGGGCCUCUGCUAACAGCUGGGCCACAUGCGUGUAUCUAGAGCCUGGGUCCCCUCUGUCCUCAUUUCCCUGUGCAUAUUCAGGGACAUGCCUCGUCAGGGUUUGGCAAGAAAAUGGGGCAUUUAAUAAUCUCCCCAGUUUCAUUCCUUGGUCCUUACUCCAUGCCAGGACUUGUGCACAUCUUUUUGGAGCCCUGUCUCACUUGAUUGACAGCCGGCCAGGCGCGGUGGCUCACGCCUGUAAUCCCAGCACUUUGGGAGGACGAGGCAGGCGGAUCAUGAGGUCAGGAGAUGGAGACCAUCCUGGCUAACACGGUGAAACCCCGUCUCUACUAAAAGUACAAAAAAAAUAGCCGGGCCUGGUGGCGGGCGCCUGUAGUCCCAGCUACUUGGUAGGCUGAGGCAGGAGAAUGGCGGGAACCCGGGAGGCAGAGGUUGCAGUGAGCUGAGAUCACGCCACUGCACUCCAGCCUGGGCGACAGAGCGAGACUCCGUCUCAAAAAAAAAAAAAAAAAAGAUUGACAGCCUCACUGCUCAGGGGCCAGGAUAACAGCCCAUUUUACAGAUGGCUUUUGGCUUGCCCAAGGUCACCACCCUCUGAACUGAGGCGUCCCCAACCCAUGCCGGGAGCUGGUGGAGGAAGUGGGGAAGGGUUUCCCGCUUCUCCACUGGGGGUGGAGGUGGGAGAAAGCAUUUUCAGGGUGUUUUGACAUUUAACAAACAGUAUGCAAAUCACAUGCAAAUCGCAUGCAAAUCACCACCCAUUUCUUAAGCCUCGACAGCGCUGGCAUGUUCUGAAAUAAUAAUGUUGGACCUGUCCCUUGAUGAUGACCUGGGUCGGGAGGUGCACGGCCUUUUCCUUCCUCCGUCUUCCCUUCCCUUCCCUUCCCUUCCCAUCUGUUCUCCCUUCCUUCGCCCCCUUCCUUUCCUCUCCCUCCCUAUCUUCCAUUUUUCUCUUCUUCCUUCACAUCAUUUGUCCAAGACCUCCCUGGCCUGAGAUAAACAUAAGUUGCAAAAGUGGCUUCCUGCAGCCCAUUUUCCAGGUUGGGAAACUGAGGCAUGGGCCUAAGGUCCCACAGCCACACCGAGGAAAGCAGCCCCCACUGAAUGUCACCAUGCACCAAAGUGCAUGGUCCUCGUGACACAAAGAGGGGAGAUGACAGUGGCUGGAGUUGUCAGAGCUGCUUUGAGGAAGCUCCAGGCCUGAUAGGCUUGACAGGGCCAAGGGGAACUAUUGUGGAAUGUCUUGGCCUUGAAUGACAGGCUGCUGAUUUUGGAUCUGGAGAAAGCUCACACUGACUCUUCCUGCUCCCCCAGUCUGUUUUUCUCCUGCUACUCCAUCCAUGUAUCCCUGAGUUUGGGCCACAGUCCCUCCACUUGGUUUGCAUGUCCCACCUUCUUUGUUUGGCAAGCUCCUAUUCAUCCUUCAAAGCCCUAGCUUCAAUACCUGCUACUUCAUGCAGCCAUUGCUUAUCCUUCAAGGAGAGCCUACUUCCCUCAAGGACCCUGCUGCUUCCAGUCUCACCUUCUGACUCACUCGGGAUCCACUGAACUGGGAGGUCUGUGUCUCCUCCCAGCAGAGUCAUCACUACCUUUGGGGCCGCAGGAUCACCCAGCUUGGAACUAGAUACAGAAAUGCUGUUUUGAGAGUGUACUGAAUAAAAGAUUACAUGUUUGAAAACAA